ACCCGCUGAACUUAAGCAUAUCAAUAAGCAGGAGGAAAAGAAACCAACAGGGAUUGCCCUAGUAACGGCGAGUGAAGCGGCAACAGCUCAAAUUUGAAAUCUGGCUCCUUCAGGAGCUGAGUUGUAAUUAGCAGAGGAAGCUUUAGGCGCGGCUCCAUCUGAGUCCCCUGGAACGGGGCGCCAUAGAGGGUGAGAGCCCCGUAUAGAUGGACGCCUAGCCUGUGUAAAGCUCCUUCGACGAGUCGAGUAGUCGGGGUGUGCUGCUCAAAAUGGGAGGUAAAUUUCUUCUAAAGCUAAAUAUUGCGCCAGAGGCCGAUAGCGCACAAGUAGAGUGAUCGAAAGAUGAAAAGCACUUUGAAAAGAGGGUUAAAUAGCACGUGAAAUUGUUGAAAGGGAAGCGCUUGUGACCAGACUUGCGCCGGGCGGAUCAUCCGGUGUUCUCACCGGUGCACUCCGCCCGGCUCAGGCCAGCAUCGGUUCUCGCGGGGGGAUAAAGUCCCUGGGAACGUAGCUCCUCCGGGAGUGUUAUAGCCCGGGGCGUAAUGCCCUCGCGGGGACCGAGGUCCGCGCAUCUGCAAGGAUGCUGGCGUAAUGGUCAUCAGCGACCCGUCUUGAAACACGG
rnacentral:rRNA from 1 species